AAUAAGUUUAUUUUUCAGUUUUUGAUAUAAUGUUUUGACUUUGUUUUAUUUGAAAUUUUUUUACGAUUAAUAUUUUUAUUAUUGCUAGAUGGUAAAACAUAAAUAGUACUGUAUACAUGACUAAUUGUUUUAAGUUUUUUACAAAACAUUUAAAUAAGAUGAAUGGUCAAACUUUGGACACAGAAAU
rnacentral:pre_miRNA from 1 species